rnacentral:rRNA from 1 species
UCGACGGCUUAGAGUUUGAUCCUGGCUCAGAUUGAACGCUGGCGGCAUGCCUAACACAUGCAAGUCGAACGGAAACGAUGGGAGCUUGCUCCCAGGCGUCGAGUGGCGGACGGGUGAGUAAUACGUAGGAACCUGCCCUGUAGCGGGGGAUAGCCCGGGGAAACCCGGAUUAAUACCGCAUACGCACCAUGGUGGAAAGAGGGCCUCUUCUUGAAAGCUCUCACUAUGGGAUGGGCCUACGUCUGAUUAGCUUGUUGGUAGGGUAAAGGCCUACCAAGGCGACGAUCAGUAGCUGGUCUGAGAGGAUGAUCAGCCACACCGGGACUGAGACACGGCCCGGACUCCUACGGGAGGCAGCAGUGGGGAAUAUUGGACAAUGGGCGCAAGCCUGAUCCAGCAAUGCCGCGUGUGUGAAGAAGGCCUGAGGGUUGUAAAGCACUUUUAUAUGGGAAGAAACGCUCGGGGCUAAUACCUUCGAGAAUUGACGGAACCAUUUGAAUAAGCACCGGCUAACUCCGUGCCAGCAGCCGCGGUAAUACGGAGGGUGCAAGCGUUGUCCGGAAUCAUUGGGUGUAAAGGGUGCGUAGGCGGGCUUGUAAGUCUGGGGUGAAAGGCAGUGGCUCAACCAUUGGAUUGCCCUGGAUACUGCGAGUCUUGAGUCUCGGAGAGGUCGAUGGAAUUGGUGGUGUAGCGGUGAAAUGCAUAGAGAUCACCAAGAACACCGGUGGGGAAGCCGGUCGGCUGGACGAGUAACGACGCCCAGGCACGAGAGCGUGGGGAGCCAACAGGAUUAGAUACCCUGGUAGUCCACGCUGUAAACGAUGCAUGCUAGGUGUUGGCCUUAUGGGGUCGGUACUGUAGUUAACGCGCUAAGCAUGCCACCUGGG